AUUGAACGCUGGCGGCAUGCCUUACACAUGCAAGUCGAACGGCAGCACGGGAGCAAUCCUGGUGGCGAGUGGCGAACGGGUGAGUAAUAUAUCGGAACGUGCCCAGUCUGGGGAUAACGUAGCGAAGCUACGCUAAUACCGCAUACGAUCUAUGGAUGAAAGCGGGGGAUCGCAAGACCGUCGCGCGAUUGGAGCGGCCGAUAUCAGAUUAGGUAGUUGGUGAGGUAAAGGCUCACCAAGCCGACGAUCUGUAGCUGGUCUGAGAGGACGACCAGCCACACUGGGACUGAGACACGGCCCAGACUCCUACGGGAGGCAGCAGU
rnacentral:rRNA from 1 species